rnacentral:lncRNA from 1 species
GCAGGACAUUAGAAUUUGCCUCUCAGAGAGGAUGCCUCUGACUCCCUCUAGAGGGCACUUGCUGCCAGUUAUGGGCUAAGUGCCAUUGCUGGGAGGAUUCUGUGAUCAGCCGGCUGUCAGAUUCACGGAAGGCUCCUGGCGCUUGUUGGUUGGUUUGUUCUAGAGAAACAGUUGGAGAGUGUUUCCUUGGGCAGCUGGGAGAGGUGGGGGGACUCCCUGCCCACCUCAAUCUCCUCAACACCCCUCCAUCCCUCCCCUCCCUGACUGGGCCUUCACUCAGCAGGCCCUUCUAGAGGGCGGAGGCCAAAGGGUGUCACCCGCUUUCAUGAACAAUGCUGCCUGGAGCCUGUGGUGUUUAGAGGAGUAGAUUUAACCACAGAGGGUUUGUGGGAACUCCUAGUUCAGAACACAAGGGAGGAGAGAACAGAACAUUGAGAUGCAAAGAUUUAUGAGGGAGAAAGACUCAUGUAAGAAAAGGAAAUUAGAAACCAAGCAAGCAGAAUAUUCCAAAGACAGCCACAUACCACCCAUAAUAAUGAAGUUUCCAUGACUCUCUUUGGCUCAGAUAGGUCUGCUUAAUAAUUAAUAUGGCAACUCUCCCUCUCUCUGCAAACAGGUGGCUGUACAGGGCUUGGCAAAUAUUUCCUUAUUGCUCCCUUUACUUUCUCCGAGAGGAAGGUUGGGUGGUCCAGAGGAUUUCCCAGAUGGAGCAGCAGGCUUCCCAUGCCUGCCAUUUGCAUAAGUGGCAAGGGGGGGAAAUGAGGAGACCUUCCAAUGUCUUCUCUACCAAGUGAAUCUCUGACUCUACAAGUUUCCUUCCCAAGACACUGUGGUCCAGGGCUACCUCCCUUACAGCCUACAUGACAACAUGUGCAAAUUAUUUGUCAGCAUCUAAUUGCAAGAACGAUGAGGAAACCAAGGCACAGAGGUUAAACAACGUGUCCAAGCCACGUAGCAAGUAAACAAUUGAGCCAGGCUCCAAAUCCAAACGUUCUGGCGUCAGAGUCCUAUAAAGAUUUUUUUGGCCUAAUGUGAGGAAGUACUUUCUAAGAAUAAGAGUUUACCAAUUAAAAGGGGGUUGCUGUUUUAUGAAGAUAUUUAAACCAAGGCUGAGGGGCCAUUUUCAAGGGAUGCUGACUCGGUAAAAGUUCUUUGGCAGCAAGCAUCAGAAACCAAAUGUAACAACUUUAAGCUAAAAAAUAAAAAGAAGGAAGAGGAAGAAGAGAAGAUGGGGUUGAGGGAGGAGGACAGGAAAAAAAAGGAGAAGAAAGGUGAA